rnacentral:misc_RNA from 1 species
UAAUAAGUGUUUAUUAUACGGCACUUUUUUAAAUCCAUAUCCACCUUGUGUGCAAUGUCAGUCGAUUUUCUUUUCGUCAAGAGAAGGAUCGACCAAACAUCAACCUUAUUCUAUUUAACUCUUUGUCUGAAAAACUAUUAUGAAUAAACUAAUUCAAAAUA